GUGAGGAAUUUUCCGCAAUGGGCGAAAGCCUGACGGAGCAAUGCCGCGUGAAGGAUGAAGGCCUAUGGGUUGUAAACUUCUUUUCUCAGAAAAGAAUUAUGACGGUAUCUGAGGAAUAAGCAUCGGCUAACUCUGUGCCAGCAGCCGCGGUAAGACAGAGGAUGCAAGCGUUAUCCGGAAUGAUUGGGCGUAAAGCGUCUGUAGGUUGUUUAAAAAGUAUUCUGUCAAAGAUUAGGGCUUAACCCUAGAUAGGCAGAAUAAACUUUUAAGCUAGAGUUUGGUAGAGGCAGAGGGAAUUCCCGGUGGAGCGGUGAAAUGCGUAGAUAUCGGGAGGAACACCAAAGGCGAAGGCACUCUGCUAGGCCAAUACUAACACUGAGAGACGAAAGCGAGGGGAGCAAAUGGGAUUAGAAACCCUGGUAGUCC
rnacentral:rRNA from 1 species